rnacentral:lncRNA from 1 species
GGCCUUAUCUGUUCAUGUGCUUCACGAUGCUAUAAAAUUAAUAAAAAAAAAUCAAUAACGUUUUUAUUUUUCACAUCAAUCUUUUUCCUUUUCCAAAUAUCAGUGAAACGGGCAAAUAUAAUAAUAUACGGCAUCAGAGCUAGAAACCACCGGUUUAAUGAGGCAAAGGUGACAUAAAACCAUGGGUGGGCAUUCACGUGACCCGCACUAGUAUAUGAGAUUUGAACGCGUGUCCCAAGCCAACGGCUUGGAUCUUUCGGUUGCCUGCUGCUACAGACAGUGGUGGAAACUGCACAUGUAAAUAUGUAAUAAUAGAUUUUGGUUUUGCUCUAGUUGAUGGUUUCUCGUUGAGUGGGUAGCUGCUGGAUUUUAGUGGGACUGACUGUUGCAGUUUCAUCCCUUUCAACUGUUUGUCGCCUUUACUUGAUGUAUGUGCUUUCUAGCUGCAAGCAGCUGCCCAACUUCGCCAAUAUAUAAGUGGUGUUUGAUACGAAAAAAAAAAUUUUCUGGUCUAGUUUUUAUAUUUUAAUUUAAAUAUAUGUU